rnacentral:tRNA from 1 species
GGAAUUGUGGCUCAGUGGUAGAGCACUCGUCUAGCAUGUGUGAGGCCCUGGGUUCAAUCCUCAGCACCA